AGAAAAUGUUAUUAUUUCAUUGGCCACUGGGCGCCGCCUUUGUGUACUUUAUUACUUAGCCUAGAUUUAAAUAUUAAAAUGUUAUUAUUGAUAUUAUUAUAUAUUUUUGUUAUUGUUUAUAAAUGUUAUAUAAUAUAAAACAAAUUAAACAUUACAUGCAUCCACGUCAUCUUAAACGAAUGCCGUGUUAGUGUAUUUUUUUUGUAUCUAACGUUACUAUUUAAUAAAGGAUUGUUACACUACACUUAAUAAAGUGAAGUUACACUGCUUUUACAUUGCAACAGUGCGACGCGACGAAACGGCGUAGAUCGCUUGGCUAAUUAUAAUGGCAUCGUUGUAGUUCGCGUCGCGUCUCUUGCAGUUUACGGCACAGCAACAAGCUCGAGCUGCACAACCGGUUAGACGCCUCCAAACCCGGAAGACGCGCGUGUAAGGGAUGGGGAAGAUCUCUCUUCAUUCCACUUGAUCAAACUUUACCAAAAUUCACAAAACUUCGACUCCUGUCAGUCACUUCUGGUAACACAACAGCUUUGAUAAGAAUGGCAGCGUCCGCGAUCUUCAUCCUGGACCUUAAAGGCAAGAUAGGACAGGACAGGACAAGAGAGCAGACGUUUCUCACGAGAGGUCAUUGAAUAAUCCUACAACAAGACAGGGCUAGGAAGAGGGAAUAAGAAGCAGAGACAAUCAAGAGGAAAAAGGGGACAGGUGAGGAGAAGGGAACGAAAGGGGAACCAGCUGAAAGAGAUAAUGAGCGGAGGAGUGGAUGUGUGUGCGUGAUAGUGUGACCACAAGAGGGAGACAGAGAAAGAGGAGAAGAGCCAGGAUCAUGACACAUUCAUUUGAAAUAUUGAAAUAUAAAUCUUUUGAAACAUUAUAAAUGUCUUUUUAGCCACUUUUCAGUCAAUUUAAUGGAUCCUUUAUUAAUUUCUUUUUUUUUUUUUUUUUUAUUUUUUUAAAAACCUUACUUACCCUAAACUUUUUGAAUGAUAGUGUAUCACAGUUUCCUCAAAAAUAUUAAGCACCAAAAUUAAAUAUAAUAAGAAGAAUUAUUUCUUGUGCGCCAGAGUAAUGGCUGCUAAAAAUUCAGCUCUGCCAUCACAGGAAUAAUUCACAUGCUAAUAUAUUAAAAUAAAAAACAGUCAUUCUAAAUUGUAAUAAUAUUUCACAAUAUUACUCUUAUUUUAUUUUUGAUUAAAUAAAUGCAGGCUUGGUGAGCAUAAGACACUUUCAAAAACAUAAAAAAAUUAAUUAUAUAUCAAGAGAUGUGUGUAUAUAUAAAGAGCUGCCAUCACAGGAAUAAUCACAUGCUAAUAUAUUAAAUAAAAACAGUCAUUCUAAAUUGUA
rnacentral:lncRNA from 1 species